rnacentral:rRNA from 1 species
UACGGAGGGUGCGAGCGUUGUCCGGAAUCACUGGGCGUAAAGGGCGCGUAGGCGGCCUGAUAAGUAGGGGGUGAAAUCCUGCGGCUUAACCGCAGGGCUGCCUUCUAAACUGUCAGGCUUGAGCACAGUAGAGGCAGGUGGAAUUCCCGGUGUAGCGGUGGAAUGCGUAGAGAUCGGGAAGAACAUCAGUGGCGAAGGCGGCCUGCUGGGGCUGUUGCUGACGCUGAGGCGCGACAGCGUGGGGGAGCAAACAGG